rnacentral:misc_RNA from 1 species
GAUGAAGAACGUAGCGAAAUGCGAUAAGUAAUGUGAAUUGCAGAAUUCAGUGAAUCAUCGAAUCUUUGAACGCACAUUGCGCCCGCCAGUAUUCUGGCGGGCAUGCCUGUUCGAGCGUCAUUACAACCCUCAGGCCCCCGGGCCUGGCGUUGGGGAUCGGCGGAAGCCCCCUGCGGGCACAACGCCGUCCCCCAAAUACAGUGGCGGUCCCCCCGCAGCUUCCAUUGCGUAGUAGCUAACACCUCGCAACUGGAGAGCGGCGCGGCCACGCCGUAAAACACCCAACUUCUGAAUGUUGACCUCGAAUCAGGUAGGAAUACCCGCUGAACUUAAGCAUAUCAAUAAGCGGAGGA